rnacentral:sRNA from 1 species
GGAGGAGCGUCUCAAUCUUACUCAGGAGGCGCCACAAAACACUUCAGUUCAUCACGUCUCGUUUUCAUCCGGAGGAGCAAGCGCUCAGCGCGGA